AGGUCUUUUCUAUUGCUGGUGUUAUACAGCUUCCAACACUGCUUCGGGAACUUCAGCGGAGCCUCCAUCUCACAGGCUGUCUAGUAGCACUGUGGCUCAUGCUUACUUGUACCCUGAAACUGAGGAUGAUAUCUAAAGCAAGGAAAAAAGCUUCAAAGAAAAAGAUUUGUUCUCCAUUGCCUGAGAUUAGGGAUCCAGGAGGAGGAGCAUCUGUGUCCCUAGCACUGAGUGCCAAAGCAGUGAAAACAUUCAAAGGAGAGAGUUUCAAAACCAUCCGAACCCAUGAUCAGGCCUGACGAUGGAGAGCUUUGUAAGAUGCAAGAAGAAGACAGUAGGGAGUGCUGGAAGUGACUGAGCAUGAACGAUACUUGUUCUAUACAGCAUGAUGCUCCCCACCCCUAAAAGCUUCAGAGAUCCCUAUCAAAAGGAAUUUCUGACUUUUAUAG
rnacentral:lncRNA from 1 species